UUGUGGAGGAGGACGCCGAAGGUGGGGCUAAUGACUGGGGUGAAGUCGUAACAAGGUAGCCGUACCGGAAGGUGCGGCUGGAUCACCUCCUAACAGGGAGACAACAAAAUGUUUAAUAUUAUUAUUUUGUCGCCUUAGGUCGAUCGGUAUCUCACAUUCCUAAUUUAUUAAGAAUUUCAUUUUCUAAGUUUUUCUAGGUCACACCCAUUAUUUUUCCUGGGCCAUUAGCUCAGGUGGUUAGAGCGCACCCCUGAUAAGGGUGAGGUCCCUGGUUCAAGUCCAGGAUGGCCCAUAUCUCUAUGUUGGGGGUAUAGCUCAGUUGGUAGAGCGCCUGCUUUGCAAGCAGGAUGUCAGCGGUUCGAGUCCGCUUACCUCCACUGAUUACCACCUCUUCCAUAACCGGUAGUAAAGGAAAUGUUUUGAGUUGUGAUCAAAUUCUGAAAGAAUCUAGCUUCCUAAUGAAAUCAUUAAGAUGCUGGACUCAUUGAAUUAAUUUCAUUGUUUUCAGAGAACCUUGACAACUGCAUAGAUUAUUUUUAAAGACAAUAAGCAUCUUUGAUGAUGCAGAUUUAUUAUUUGUGCGAAUGCAUUAAUAACAAUUCUAUUAAGCUGAUGCUUCAAUUUUGAAGUUAUUGGUCAAGCUACAA
rnacentral:misc_RNA from 1 species